rnacentral:rRNA from 1 species
AUACGUAGGGGGCGAGCGUUGUCCGGAAUGAUUGGGCGUAAAGGGCGCGUAGGCGGCCCGGUAAGUCUGGAGUGAAAGUCCUGUUUUUAAGAUGGGAAUUGCUUUGGAUACUGUCGGGCUUGAGUGCAGGAGAGGUAAGUGGAAUUCCCAGUGUAGCGGUGAAAUGCGUAGAGAUUGGGAGGAACACCAGUGGCGAAGGCGACUUACUGGACUGUAACUGACGCUGAGGCGCGAAAGUGUGGGGAGCAAACAGGAUUAGAUACCCUGGUAGUCCACACUGUAAACGAUGAAUGCUAGGUGUAGGGGGUAUCGACCCCUUCUGUGCCGCAGUCAACACAAUAAGCAUUCCGCCUGGGG